CAGCAGCCACGGUAAUACGUAGGUGGCAAGCGUUGUCCGGAAUUAUUGGGCGUAAAGGGCUCGCAGGCGGUUUCUUAAGUCUGAUGUGAAAGCCCCCGGCUCAACCGGGGAGGGUCAUUGGAAACUGGGAAACUUGAGUGCAGAAGAGGAGAGUGGAAUUCCACGUGUAGCGGUGAAAUGCGUAGAGAUGUGGAGGUACACCAGUGGCGAAGGCGACUCUCUGGUCUGUAACUGACGCUGAGGAGCGAAAGCGUGGGGAGCGAACAGGAUUAGAUACCCCCGUAGUCCCUGUCUCUUAUAC
rnacentral:rRNA from 1 species